AUACGGAGGAUCCAAGCGUUAUCCGGAUUUAUUGGGUUUAAAGGGAGCGUAGGUGGAUUGUUAAGUCAGUUGUGAAAGUUUGCGGCUCAACCGUAAAAUUGCAGUUGAAACUGGCAGUCUUGAGUACAGUAGAGGAGGGCGGAAUUCGUGGGGUAGCGGUGAAAUGCUUAGAUAUCACGAAGAACUCCGAUUGCGAAGGCAGCCUGCUGGACUGUAACUGACGCUGAUGCUCGAAAGUGUGGGUAUCAAACAGGAUUAGAUACCCUGGUAGUCCACACAGUAAACGAUGAAUACUCGCUGUUUGCGAUAUACAGUAAGCGGCCAAGCGAAAGCGUUAAGUAUUCCACCUGGGGAGUACGCCGGCAACGGUGAAACUCAAAUGAAUUGACGGGG
rnacentral:rRNA from 1 species